rnacentral:rRNA from 1 species
GACGAACGCUGGCGGCGUGCUUAACACAUGCAAGUCGAGCGGUAAGGCUCCUUCGGGAGUACACGAGCGGCGAACGGGUGAGUAACACGUGAGCAAUCUGCCCUUCACUUUGGGAUAACCACCGGAAACGGUGGCUAAUACCGAAUACGACCACUUCGGGCAUCCGAUGGUGGUGGAAAGUUCCGGCGGUGAAGGAUGAGCUCGCGGCCUAUCAGCUUGUUGGUGGGGUAACGGCCCACCAAGGCAACGACGGGUAGCCGGCCUGAGAGGGUGACCGGCCACACUGGGACUGAGACACGGCCCAGACUCCUACGGGAGGCAGCAGUGGGGAAUAUUGGACAAUGGGCGAAAGCCUGAUCCAGCAACGCCGCGUGAGGGAUGACGGCCUUCGGGUUGUAAACCUCUUUCAGCAGGGACGAAGCGCAAGUGACGGUACCUGCAGAAGAAGCACCGGCCAACUACGUGCCAGCAGCCGCCGUAAGAC